rnacentral:miRNA from 10 species
UCUGUUCAUCGGUAUGUCAAACG